AAGGAAUAUUGGACAAUGGAGGCAACUCUGAUCCAGCCAUGCCGCGUGAAGGAAUAAGGCCCUAUGGGUUGUAAACUUCUUUUAGACGGGACAAAACCCCUUUACGUGUAAAGGGUUGAUGGUACUGUCAGAAUAAGCAUCGGCUAACUUCGUGCCAGCAGCCGCGGUAAUACGAAGGAUGCAAGCGUUAUCCGGAAUUAUUGGGUUUAAAGGGUGCGUAGGCGGACUGAUAAGUCAGUGGUGAAAGCCUGCAGCUUAACUGCAGAAUUGCCAUUGAUACUGUCGGUCUUGAGUACAGUUGAGGUAGGCGGAAUGUGUCAUGUAGCGGUGAAAUGCUUAGAUAUGACACAGAACACCGAUUGCGAAGGCAGCUUGCUAAGCUGUAACUGACGCUGAGGCACGAAAGCGUGGGGAGCAAAC
rnacentral:rRNA from 1 species